rnacentral:rRNA from 1 species
GACGAACGCUGGCGGCGUGCUUAACACAUGCAAGUCGAACGAGACGAUUGAAAGCUUGCUUUUGAAAGUCGAGUGGCAAACGGGUGAGUAACGCGUAGACAACCUGCCUUUGAGAUGGGGACAACAGUUCGAAAGGACUGCUAAUACCGAAUGUUGUCUAUUUUCCACAUGGAAGAUAUAUUAAAGAUGGCCUCUAUUUAUAAGCUAUCGCUCAAAGAUGGGUCUGCGUCUGAUUAGCUGGUUGGUGGGGUAACGGCCUACCAAGGCGACGAUCAGUAGCCGGUCUGAGAGGAUGAACGGCCACAUUGGGACUGAGACACGGCCCAGACUCCUACGGGAGGCAGCAGUGGGGAAUCUUCCACAAUGGACGAAAGUCUGAUGGAGCAACGCCGCGUGAGUGAAGAAGGGUUUCGGCUCGUAAAGCUCUGUUGUCGGGGACGAAUGUGCAGUAUUUGAAUAAAGUACUGUAAUGACGGUACCUGACGAGGAAGCCACGGCUAACUACGUGCCAGCAGCCGCCGUAA